UAGUGCGCAUUCCCUCUGAAAGUAAUGCGCGUUAUGUCCCAGUCGUGUCUGUGAAGCGGGCUUCAGUGUGUGGUUAUCGUUGGAACUGAGAAAAUAGAUAGGAAGGACUACAAUUGUAUUUUUUUGAAAGAUGAAAUUGUGUCCCUGGGAUGCACGACGGCAAUUACGGUGCGCCUGGGCAAGAGAGAGGAAUAAGGGAACGGAAUAGAAUACACGGACACGGAUCAUAAUUAGAGAUUGCAGGAAGAUAAGCAAUCUACCCGCAUGAUACCUCACCGACGCAAUUGAACCCGCCUCGAUCUUUCAUCCGCACUGAUCAUUUUAUCGAUGAUUAAACUGGUGGAAUGAUUAAUGAGACCAAGAAUCCGAUGAGAAAGCCUGGAUAUUUACGAUUCCAUCGACAGCGAGAGAAUAUCCUGAGACGAAUGACCUGGCGAAACAAUGGGGAGGUACUGUUGGAGUAUCUCGAGCGUAAACACACCGAGAUAUCUCUCGUCACGGGCCUCUCGUUUCAAAAUACGACAUAAUGUACAGCAGAAUGUAGCGUCCUGCUACGGAAAUGAAAUUAAGGGUCAUUGACAAAAUGAAAAUGUUGGAAUAUUCAGCAACUGAUUUACAUGAGAUCUUGAUGGAUUUUGCGGCUGAAAAAUGAGGCAAUUCCAUGGGAUAACUAAUUUCAAACGCAAUUUCGGGGAGAAAACUUAUUUCGAGAGGAAUUAAAUUUUAUCAUUCCUCAUUUCUAAAGAUUUUCAUGGAAUAAUUCAGUAGCGAAGUGGU